AACGAACGCUGGCGGCAUGCCUAACACAUGCAAGUCGAACGAGACCUUCGGGUCUAGUGGCGCACGGGUGCGUAACGCGUGGGAACCUGCCCUUAGGUUCGGAAUAACUCCCCGAAAGGGGUGCUAAUACCGGAUAAUGUCUUCGGACCAAAGAUUUAUCGCCUUUGGAUGGGCCCGCGUUGGAUUAGCUAGUUGGUAGGGUAAAAGCCUGCCAAGGCGACGAUCCAUAGCUGGUCUGAGAGGAUGAUCAGCCACACUGGGACUGAGACACGGCCCAGACUCCUACGGGAGGCAGUAGUGGGGAAUAUUGGACGAUGGGCGAAAGCCUGAUCCAGCAAUGCCGGGUGAGUGAUGAAGGCCUUAGGGUUGUAAAGCUCUUUUACCCGGGAUGAUAAUGACAGUACCGGGAGAAUAAGCUCCGGCUAACUCCGUG
rnacentral:rRNA from 1 species